GCACAUCAGUGGUAGAACAUCUGUUUUGCAUUCAGAAGGUCCCAAGUUCAACCCCUGGUUUCUCCA